rnacentral:rRNA from 1 species
GACGAACGCUGGCGGCGUGCUUAACACAUGCAAGUCGAACGGAAAGGCCCUGCUUUUGUGGGGUGCUCGAGUGGCGAACGGGUGAGUAACACGUGAGUAACCUGCCCUUGACUUUGGGAUAACUUCAGGAAACUGGGGCUAAUACCGGAUAGGAGCUCCUGCUGCAUGGUGGGGGUUGGAAAGUUUCGGCGGUUGGGGAUGGACUCGCGGCUUAUCAGCUUGUUGGUGGGGUAGUGGCUUACCAAGGCUUUGACGGGUAGCCGGCCUGGGAGGGUGACCGGCCACAUUGGGACUGCGAUACGGACCAGACUCCUACGGGGGGCAGCAGUGGGGAAUAUUGCACAAUGGGCGGAAGCCUGAUGCGGCAACGCCGCGUGCGGGAUGACGGCCUUCGGGGUGUAAACCGCUUUCGCCUGUGACGAAGCGUGAGUGACGGUAAUGGGUAAAGAAGCACCGGCUAACUACGUG